GGUAUAACUCCCGUAGUGGAGCAAAGUGAUGUAUAUGUUAAAAACGAAAUGAGUAUUACAUAUAUGUGUGAGGUCUUGAUUUGCAUUUCUGAUAGUUAUAUAGCAUUUUUGAUAGUAAAAUAAAGCAUAUAUGAACAAGUUGAAGAAGUUAGUCAUUCUCGUUCAAAAGCUAUUGUUGCGGUUGCUUGGAUUCAUCCCACCAACGAACGGAGAACCGUGAAAUAAACGGGCCGGAAGAGAGGUCCCGUCCCGUGGAAAUGACUAAUAUAUAUAUUAGUUCCGAGAAAACAAAACCCUAAUCUUAUGCCACUGCCGUCACUCCUCUUUUAAAAUUCAAAUCCUCCCUCACAAUCAGCCCAGAAAUUCGCACCUCUCUGGCUCUCUUCUCGCCGCCGUCUGACACCCUCCUCCUCUCUCCCGACACGCUCCUCUCCUGUUACCGCCACUGUCUCUCACUCUCACGAUCUCACCGCAAAAUCGUCGUCUUCCCGCGUCUGAGGGCUGAGGCAGAAUCGUCGUUGCCAUCUCUCGUCGGAACCUGAACGUCGGCUCCUCCAGCCUGCUCUUCGUCGCCGCCUCCACCCCGGUCUUCUUCGCAGCUUCCGGUCCAGUAUCCGUCACCGCCUCCAGCAAGAUCUUGGCCGAUUUUCAUCGCCGUUGCAGAAGCAUCUUCGCCGAUUUUCAAUGUUAAUGGUAAUUCUCACAACAAUAACAACAUCAACUCCUCUUCGGAGCUGAACAACAAUGUUUAUUCUUCAUCUUCUUCCUCCACCUCACCCAAAGACGCGGAAGCUGCAUUUUACAGGGAGCUAUGGCAUGCGUGUGUAGGUCCUCUUGUUACAGGUCCAACAGAAGGAGAAAUAGUUUUCUAUUUCCCUCAGGGACACAGAGAACAGGAGGAGGCGUCAACAAAUCAGGUGGCUGACCAACAUAUGCUGUGUACGACCUUCCUUCUAAUAUCCUUUGUCGGGUCAUCAACGUGCAGCUCAAGGCGGAGCCCGACUUGGAUGAGGUGCUUUCCCAGAUUACCUUGCUUCCGGAGCAAAAUCAAGAUGAGACCGUCGAGAAAGAGCCUCCGCUGCCACCACGGUGUCAUCGUCCCUUGCACUUAGAUAAAUGGAGCCUCAGGUAAAUUAAUUGCUGGUUUUUAUUUCUUUUAAUUUGUUGAUUUGUUACUGGCUGAUUUUUUGUUAUGAGUAUCUGUUCUGAUGGCGGGUCGGCUUCCACUAUCCUAGGCUUUUCGAAAAGCUUGUUUGCUAAACAGCUUGGGUCGUAGACCUCCAAGAAAGCCUAUAAAGUCCAAUAGGCAUCUUUUUCACUGUUAUAUUUAUUUAGUGUUUAGCCUACCUUUGUGUCUUGUUACAAUUCCUAUUACAAUUCUAUGUAAUCCGUGGAAAUCUCUCACGUUUUCGCGUUUAUACAUAGACCGUGGUAACCUACUACGGUUUAUGAAGAGAAUAUAAACGUAAAUCUUGGUUAUUUAAUACGGUUUAUAAAGAGAAGAUAUGUACACAUAAUUUGUGGUAACCUGCCACGGUUUAUGAUGAGUAAAAAUUUUAUAUAUACACGGUGAGUUUCAUUGUGUUGUAAAGGAGUAUUUUUACAAUGGUAAGUGAGGAUGAGAGUUUCUUAUUGCUAGUACAUUGCUUUAAGAAAAUUCAAAGAAGCAAGAAAUACGGUGUGAAGUUCACUGACAGAGAAUCGUUGAGUAUAUUGAUCAGUUCAUCAAGGAGUACCUUAUCAGAUCUAAAGAACUACAUAUUGUCAAAGCUUGGGGUAUUUGGGAGCAAGUGGGUGAAGAAAUUAUUUUAUAAGAUUCCGAUCGCAGUUGUGUCAACCGAUGUUAAGAAUGAUACAUUUGUGAUGGCAACUGAUGAAGAUAUUCGGGUUUUGUUUCAUUGUCUUAGGAGUUCUCCAGAGGUCAGAAUACACGAGAUGUAUGUGAAGUUGGAGGUUGGUGUCCAUAGUUCAAGGGCAUCAGCUCUGUUUUCUCACUCGACUGCCAUGGGCGGUGCCUCUAGUUUGAUGGCUCUGGCCGCACCAAUUGAUCUGUACGUUGCAUCUCCUUAUAUUGCGGUUGAUUUAGAACGUACAGAGGCAGUUGGUUCUGUAUCAUUCGAGAAUCGUGGGGUUUGACAUCAGAUAUAUAGGGUGGAUAACGGUCCUGAUACUAUUCCUAAUGUUAUAGGGGUCGGGGAACCUGGUCGAGUUGUGAAUGCAAUGGGGGAUGAUGAUUCAGACAUGAUGAUACCCUUUAAGUUCUAGCAUACAGUAGUACUCUCCGCACUACUCCACUCUAAACUUGGAGGCUAUGGGGCAAUAGUUAGACGGAGAUAUUGCUGUUCGAAGUUCUUCUACAAAAUUUCAAAUUAGGCAAUCAUUCCAUAAUAAAGAGGAAGUUGUUUUGAGUGUGAAGGAUUAUAGCAUCUGUCAAGCUGUUGAAUACAUGGUGUUAGAGUUGGAUCAUCUAAUGGGAAAUGCAAGGAAUUCGGCAAUGGUUGUAGUUGGUUGAUUUGUUUCUCGCUUCGUGCGCAAAAUUGCAGUUGGAAGGUGAGGAUCUAUCUGAUGGUUAGGGCGGAUGUUGCGGUUAUGACAACGGAAGCCAAUUAUGGAUUCAGGUCCAAUUACAAGAAGGUUUGGAUGGUAAAGCAGAAGGCAAUUGCACAAAUAUACGAGGAUUGAGAAGAGUUGUAUGCUGAGUUGUUAUGUUGGAGGGAGGAAAUGCAAAGUUAUGGCCUUUUUCUUGUCCAGCCUAUGACAACAUGUGACGCCACAGGAAGGUAUCCUUGUUAUCUCCGACGGGCAUAAUGGCAUCAAAGCUGCCCUUGAGGCACCUGUGGUGGUUGACUACCUCUUUGUGAUUUUUGAACGUUCUGUAUUUGUUAUGUGGCGGCAAAUUUUAGCUUGAGCUUCAAAAGUUAAGAUGCUAGAAGAAUGUUGGUGAAUGUCGCCUAUGCGAAAAUCGAAGCAGAAUAUGAUUACUGGUUUGACAUUAUGCGGAUUAAGAAUCCGGUUAUGUAUGAUUGGGCCAAUCGGAUGGAAUAUGACAAGUGGAUCCAGCAUCAGGAUAGUAGGAGAAGAUUUGGUCACACCUCAAUAUUAGCGAAAUGUGUGAAUUCUGUGCUAAUGGGAACAAGGAACCCCCGGUAACGUCCUUGGUUAAGUCCACGUACAGGAACUGGGCAUGAAUUUUGUAGGCGUCAGUGAAAGCAAUAGAGCGGAAUGAGGGACAUGAGAUGCUUCAUCAUCACUUUAUACAACGGCUACUUUCAGUUUUUGCAUUACCCAUGUUGUCACGCCAUAGCAUGUUGCGGCUACUCGCGUCUGAAUUGGGCCUCAUGUUCACGAUGUGUAUCGUAUGACUGAGGUGUUCAAUGUGUACAAGGAAGGGUUUGUGCCCCCUUUCGUCGAAGGACUCUAGCCGCUGUCAUUCCAGAUCCUAACAUGAAGUGCGCAAUAAAUGGACGACCAAAGUCAACCAGAAUCCAGGGAGGGUGGCAUGGAUCAGGCAGCUCCAAACUAACCGAAGCGUUGUGAGCUCUGCUGUCAACCCGGUCAUACGUGGAGGAACUGUGACUAGCGAUGACAUAUUGCUGCCAGAGAUGCUUAGAUUUUAUGAUUUUUUUUGUUGUACAUUUCAUUCUACAAUGUAUGUUUAAGUCGUUUAAUACCCUAAAUAUGCAUACCACAAUAUCAUGAUACAUAAAUACUAUCAAAUGGCUACACAACUUAAUACUAAUAUUAAGUAUCAUCGUUAUCAAUGACAAAACCACUAAGCAAGUGAGACCCGGUGCCACAUUAAAUAUUAAGUAUCAUCGUCGGUCUUUGUGGCGGUAUGGCAUUAAAUGUUGAUCCAUAGUAAACCAAGGGUCAUAUGGAGUUUCUGCAAGUUGGUUGAGGUUCAUGCCAAACUGAGGCUAAAUACCCUGCAUAUGUGCCUGAACAUCCUGCAUCCGGAGCAUUCAGCAUUUGUGGCAUAUAUGAUUGAAUAUCCUGCAUCUAUGGCAUACAUAUACAGGAUGCUCAGCCACAUAUGCCACAGAUGCUGUAAGCAGGAUGUUCAGUCACGGAUGUAGGGUGUUCAGCCUCAGUUUAUUGUGGAAUUCAACUAACCUGUAGAUACUCCGUAUGACCCAUGGUUAACUAUGAGUGGGACUCCCGCAUUAGUAUUUAGUGAUAUAUUGCCACAGAGACCGAUGGUGAGGCGUCAUGCUUGAUGUGGCACUGCGUCUCACUUGCUUGGUUUUGACAUUGAGGACAUGAUACCAUUAAGGAUUCAGAUUAGCAUUGAGUUCUAUAGUAAUUUGAUAGUACUUAUGGUCCAUGAUAUUGUGGUAUGCGUGUAAUGUGCUAUUCACAUGCAUGUGUUGCGUAUGUUUUAUGAAAUUUAUAUAUGAACUCCUUUGUAACAAAUUUGUUAAAUUUGUUAGGAAUCCAUCAUCGAUAAAAAGUUAAAACAUAAACAUCGUGUAUCAAUUUAUGCAUGAAAUGAAAUAUAACAUGUUUGACGUUAAUGAUGGUAUUAAACAAGUACAAUGAAGUUAAACAACAUGAUAAACAUACAUAGUACAAUGUAACAAAAAAAAAAAACAUAACAUCUAAGUAUUCCUAGCAGUAGUUUGUCCUCGUUGGUCAUAAUUCCUCCGCGUAUGAUCAGGAUGAUGGCAGCUUUGGUUGGUUUGGAGUUGUCUGAUCCACGCGCGCCUCAUGUUUGGGUUUGGAAUGACAGUCGGAGUAGCAUAUGGAGUUCAGAGUCCUUCGAGGAUAGGGGCACAAACCCUUUCUUGUACACGUUGAACACCUUCAGAGUCCUUUGAGGAUAGGGGCACAAACCCUUUCUUGUACACGUUGAACACUUCAGUUAUACGAUACUCAUCACGAACAUAUCAGGCCCAAUUUAGACGCGGCCCAAUUCAAAAAUCUGAACACUUUACCCAUUAAUUUUCGAAAAUGAGGGCUGGGAAUUCGAAGGUAAAAUUGUGACAUACCUCAGGAAUCUUGGUGUGGGUUUUGUAGAGCUCGACACCGCGGUCGCAAACGAUGCGUCAAUUGGAGCUUCAGAUCAGAAGUUAUCAAGGAUUGGAUUUGGAGUUGAAUGAGGGCAAAGGUUUCAAAUUCUCCCACUCCCUUUCAACGUGUGUGUGGUGUUUUAGAGGGGAAAGAGAGCUGAGCUCUCUUAAUUAAGAGAGGUUUGGUUGGGCCUUGGGUCUGGUUGGCCUGGUUUGGUUCGAUCGGUCCAAUCUUAGGUUGAUUUUUUUAAAAUUAGUGUCAAAAUUCUCGCUUUGAAUUUCUCUACCAUAUAAAACCGUGAAAACCUCAUUUUUCAAAUUCUAUAAUAUAUUUUAAUUAAUGGGUUAAUUAACCAUUAAUUAACCGGGUUUUACAUUUUGCCCAGAAAAUUCGAAUUCAGUUACCUGAGAAUAGGUGAGGGUAGUCUGAUCGCAUUUUUUACUCAAGUUUCCUAAUGUGCUCCUCAACACCGGCUCGGCUCCAUGCCACCUUCACUAAUGAACCUCUUUUUCGCGCAAUUUCUUAAUACUUGUGUCAUCUAUCCUAACCAGAGUUACUGGCAGAGUCAAAUCUUCUCUUAACUGCACCGAUUCUGGUUCUAACACGGCUAGCAUCAUGAGUGUACUUCCGAAGCUGCGACACGUGAAAUACGUCGUGCAGAUUCGAAAGGUAAGGCGGUAGAGCUAUCCGAUACGCCACCGGUCCAACCCUCUCAUGAAUCUGGAACGAAUUGUGUAUCGGGGAUUCAGCUUCUAUGUCUUAAUCGCUCUACCUACUCUUGUUGUCGGAGUAACCUUAAGGAAAUCAUGAUCUUCAAACUAAGGGUUUCUGCCGCUGAUUGGCGUAACUCUUUUGACAGCUCUGAGCAGUGAGCAUCUUAUCUCUGAUUUUUUUAACUUGCUCGGUAGUCUCAGCUAUCAAUUUUGGCCCUAACAGACUUUUCUCCCUAGUCUCAUACCAGCAUAGUGGAGACUGGCAUUUUUUCCCAUACAGAGCCUCAUACGGAGCUAUUCUGAUGCUUGCAUGGUAGCUAUUCUAGGAUUUGGAUUGUUCUCUCAGAUUGACUGUCUGUUUGAGGAUGGUAAGCUGUACUCAAGCUCAAACGGGUCCUGAAAGCUUUUUGGAACGCACCCCAGGACCAAUCAAGCUCUAAAACACACAUAUAUAAUGCCUAAACCACAGUAUCACAUAAAAACACAAUAACUCAAUCACCAAAUUACAAAAUUUCAAGUCUUCAGCUUAGGGUUGAGAAUCUCACCUUACUCAAGGUCCAAGGGAACAAGAACAAGCCUUCCCUUCACGUUAAUUUGAUCCUAUAACAUCCAAACUCAAAAAUCUCAAUACUUUACCCACUAAUUUUUGAAAAUGAGGGCUGAGAAUUCGAAGGUGAGACUGUGACUUACCUCAGGAAACUUGGUGUGGGUUUUGUAGAGCUCUAAAUCAAAAGUUAUCAAGGAUUUGAGUUGGAAUUGAAUGAGGGCAAAGGUUUCACAUUUCCCCUUCCCUUUCAACGUGUGUGUGGAGUUUUAGAGGAAAGAGAGAGCUGAGCUCUCUUAAUUAAGAGAGGUUUGGUUGAGCCUUAGGCCCAACUUGGGUCCGAUUGGCUCGUUUUGGCCUGUUCGGUCCAAUCUUGGGUUGAUUUCUUUAAAAUUGGUGUCGAAAUUCUCGUUUUAAAUUUCUCUACCAUAUAAAAUCAUGAAAACCUCAUUUCUCAAAUUCUAUAAUAUAUUUUAAUUUAUGGAUUAAUUAACCAUUAAUUAACCGGGUUUUACACCGGUGGUCACUCGAAAUAGAGGUGGCCAAGCAAGUGUGCGGAACGUUGUACCUCCUCACCUUCCAAGUGCCUUUUGCGCACGAAGCGAGAUGCGAAUCAACCAAUUGCAACCUUUGCCGAACUCCUUGCAUUUCUCAUGAUAUUUCAGAUGAUCCGACUCUAGCACUCUGUACUCAACACCUCGACAGAUGUUGUAAUCCUUCACACUCAAAACAGCUUCCUCUUUAUUCCGAAUGAUUGUCUAAUCUGAAAUUCUGUAGAAGAACCCCCCAACAACAGCAUCUUCCUCUAACUGUUGCCCUAUAGCUUGUAAGUUUUGAGUGAAGUGUGGAGAGUACUGCUGUGUACGUGGAUUGGCACCUGUAUCAUCAUUGCUGUCUCCAAUUAUAUCAACAGGCUCCUGGUCUGAGUCAUUGCAUUCUCAAAUACCCAUGCGAUGGCAGUCGAGUGAGGAACCGAAGCCUGAACUAUGGACAUCGACCUCCAACUGCGAUAGAAAUCUUAUAGAAUAAUUUGUUCAUCCACUUGCUCUCAAAUACUCCAAGCUCUUUAGAUUUAACAAGGUACUUGAUGAACUGAUAAAUAUACUCAACGGUUCUUUGUCAGUGAACUUCACACAGUAUUUCUUGCUUCUUUGAAUUUUUUACACUAAAAAACUCUUAUCCUCACUUGUCAUUGUGAAAAUGUUCCUCUACAACACACUAAGAUUUACAUUGUAUAUAUAGAUUUUUUACUCAUUAUAAACCAUAGCAGAUUACCAUAAGUUAUGUGUAUCUUUUUUUUAUAAAUUGUGUUAAGUUACCAAGACUUAUGUUUAUAUUGUUUAUUUCAUAAAUCGUGGUAGGUUACCACGAUUUAUAUGUAAACGCUAAAACGUAGGAGGUUCCCUAGAUUACAUAGAAUUGUAACAGGAUAUAAAGAUAAACAGUUCUCAAUUGUUACAAUUGUGUAAAUAUUUCAUCCGUUUAUUCCAUUUAAGUAAAUUGUCCGAAUGUUGGCGUUUGUAAAUGAAAGAGUUUCAACUUUCAAGGUUUCACUUCCGUGUGUGCCACUGAAUUGAUUAUGGCAUGGCGUUAUAAUUAAAAAAUAGAUUAUAUAUUCUGUAUAAUCUCUCAUGUCGCUU